rnacentral:lncRNA from 1 species
CAUACACCAGAGUUUUCUCUUGCUCUUUUUUCUGUGUAAGCUAAAACUUCACUUUCUCUUUUCAGGAUUCUCACCAUGGGACCAUUUUGUGUUGUAAUUUGGCAGAGGUUCAUUCUGAGUAGGAGGUUUGGACUUGUUUGCAGGAUAACUGAGUAAAUGACUGAGUCCUAUCAGUGGAAACUUAUUAGACUAUGAAGACUCAUUAGAUAUCGUAUGAUUGUCCCACAAAAUGAAUUUCAUUUUGACAGCUUACAUUGGAAAAGGUCACAGGAAUGGCAAAAAGAAAUGUAAUGAAUGAGAGAAUCUUUCUGGGUGUUUCCCUUUGUGCAAUGGUAACAAAUCCUUAAAAAGACUGAAAAAUCUUCAACAUUAUUUAUCUGGGCAAUGCAAUGAAGAGGCUGUUCAAGAACCUCCCACUCUCAGAGCCCUCGGAGGUUUGCCGCCAGCCUUACUCAGAGGACAUUCCAGACCUGUCACUGCGCAGCUGCUCCUGGCAGCCAGCCCUCCACGCAAGGGCUUUGCCAAGGCACUGCUUCUCUGCACCCCCAAACACUCUGCUGAAACAAUGGUUAAUAGUUUUGCACUUGCACAACUGCUAGAUUUCCUUUUGCCUUAAAAAGGAUUUGUUUACUUCAGUUAUAAAAUGGUGUUGUGUUUUUGGCAUCGCUGGCUUUACUCUUGAAGCCUACUGUAGAACCUACCAUUGAUAUACCAUAUUCUACAUGUAGACUGGUGUACAGCAUAAGUUUAAAAUUCAGAGCUGGUGAUAAAUAAUAUUCACUACCAGCCUUUACUUUUAUGCUUGAAUUUUGCUCAGGGAAUCAUCUCAUGGGAGAAUGGUCACUUCCUAAAUCCUUGAAGAGUUUGCUCCAAGUAUUAGCCAUUUAAAGAAACAAAACAAUAAAAAGUAGCUUUCCUGGAAGAGCUUUCUUUCC